rnacentral:piRNA from 1 species
UGGCACACAUUCCUUAUAGAUCCUGGAGAC